UUACAAAAUGCAGAUUCAUAUUGGCUCGAGUAGCUUUAUUUAAUAAAAAAUUACAACGAUAUACGGCAUCCGUAAUAUAAAUACGCGUAUGUAAGUGACGUGUUGAAUUUGAACACGAAACUUGAAAUAAACAUUGUUGAUUCCGACUGUUUAGCAAUGCAGCGACUUAAUAAAAACAAAACACUAGUGCACUGGUGAAAGCGAGUUUCGAUGUUCGGGGGAGAGAAAGGAAUCAUUGAUCUGAUUUCUUUCGUAAGAACAGCUAGAUGGUAUAUUUAUAAGACAAUUCACCUUCCGUGAAACAUUGCUUUUCAUACAAAAUCAGCUGUAUUGAACAUAAAUUUUACAUUAACGAGUACAAGAAGAUACAUAGAUUUUAUUCUGCAUUUACUCCUAUCUUAAGCUUUACGUCACGUACUAAAAAGAUUAAACAUUCCUUCUUUGUGUUUCAGAUCCUACUAUCUUUCCUGAUUAAGCUCGCGGACGGCUCGUCGAGAUGUGGAGAACAUCUUCGGCUUCGAAUAAAGGUUUCUGCCUGUGAAGGCAGGGCAAAUCGAGACCAGGGAGGGUAACGAGGUCAACUGGUGGGAAGCAGUGGGUGCAGAUCUAGGUUACCUGUAUAUUAUGCAACCAACACUACUGUAAUUUCAUGACUGCGCGUGGUAACAUAUGCCUACGUGCGCAGAGUGCGCAGCACGACUACGAAAGUAAUUGUAUGCAUUUCGAUGAUGCGACGAUUAUAUAUACGAUAUUAUAUAUUCGGCCGACAACAGAAAUAUUCACGUCGCCUUAAAUCAACAAAUUGCCUUUCGCAAAAAGCUCUCCGGCGGAUCUCUUACUACUUAUCGGAGUCAUGAAAUCUACUGCAGAAUUACAAAGGAGAACGGUAAUGAUCUAUAGUUGAAUUAUCUAAUCUGCAAAGUCCUAGAAUUGAUCGAGUGUUCUCUCGACAGUGUCGAUUCGAUUGCUCCUUAGCAACAACGCCAAAGGCGUUGUACGAGCAAUCGUAUCUCUUCAAUAUUUCACAUUGCACAGCAUCUCUUUCUCUCUUUACACAGUUAAAUGUUAUACUUGAAAUCUAUCAACGUUCUUCUUCGUUCUUUUCAGAAUUUCGCUUGCCAGGCAAAGACUUCCGCAUUUGCACUCGGCACAAUUAUUCGACAAUUACAAAUGCUCCGAUAUGUGUGUUUUCAUGAAAACUCAAAGUUGCCAAGUGGUCCAUAGUGAAAGCAAUAGGCACCGCGAAAGGAGGCCAGUGUUUUUUGAGGGAGUGCUUUUGGAAUAUCUAAUACGUGUAUAUUUCUGUUCGCUACCACGUGUCUCCUGAUAUCGCGGGGCCUUACGUAAUGUAUAAAAGACAGAGGACAAGAGAGAGAGAGAGACAGGGAGCGCGUUUCCUAGCGCGUGCAGCCUUGUCGAGGGACGACAACGACAACGACGACAACGACGACGACGCGACGGUGCAACGCGCUGCACCUUCAGGCCGCGGAUCGCCUAUAAGCGAACCUCGUAUUUAUAGGCACUCGCUACCAAGGCCGAUCCGCAAUUUUAACUCACGUGGACACGCGCGAGACCUCGCGUGACACUUUUUUUUUUCUUCAACGCCCUGAGAACCAACCAUUACUUUUAUCGACGCUUCAGAAAGGCCCUCCUAAGCAGAAAGUGCUGAAGACAAUCCAGACUUAAAAGCGGCAAGACUAUAACGGAUCUCAUCUUGCACUCGAUCCUGCCGAAUCCUCUUCUCCCUUUCGUGAGGCCGACACUCCACCUUGAGUGAAGAACGAUCGGGAGAAGCCGAACCGACCGUGCACCGCGGGCGUCACCUUGAAUUUUUUUUUGGGUAGACAUCCAAAACAGCUGGGUUCAAUGAACGGCUGAGACGACGCCCCCGUUGUUUUGACACGAUUCGCUCCGGGGGAGAGAAAAAGAUGCACAUUUCUCUUCGACUGUGUAGCCAUAAAAGCUCAAGAGGCAUAAACGCACUUGGCUGGACCUCGCAGCGAGCUCCCGAGUUGCAAUUUAUUUAUCAAACAGCUCAGUAAACGAUUGCAAUUUGACUUUUUCCAUUUGGCUAUGGCAUGUCGAAAACAAAGAGAUCAAUUGAUGUAUACGUUUAAAAAUUCUAAGCUUAAAAUCGCAAUAUUUUGCUCUCUUACAUAAUAAAUGUUUAGAAGGUAUCAUUUCGUUUAUUUAUAACACGAAUAAAUAAAGCAGACUUUUUCCGUUA
rnacentral:lncRNA from 1 species